ACCCGACACAGGUAGGCGAGGAGAGAAUCCUAAGGUGAUCGAGAGAACUCUCGUUAAAGGGACUCGGCAAAAUGACCCCGUAACUUCGGGAGAAGGGGUGCUCUGGUAGGGUGUAUAGCCCGAGAGAGCCGCAGUGAAUAGGCCCAGGCGACUGUUUACCAAAAAGACAGGUCUCUGCGAACCCGCAAGGCGAAGUAUAGGGGCUGACGCCUGCCCGGUGCUGGAAGGUUAAGAGGAGGGGUUAUCCUUUGGGAGAAGCUCUGAAUCGAAGCCCCAGUAAACGGCGGCCGUAACUAUAACGGUCCUAAG
rnacentral:rRNA from 1 species